CCUUCCCUCCCCCAACCCCCUCCACUUUCAUCUUUUAUUUUUAACCUUCCCAAUGAUGGACAUCAUCAUUCUAAUCUACAAAGCUUAUAAACUCUACGAACAUGAACAAUAAAACAGUUUCUUCCAGGUUGGAUGAUAUGUACAUUUCUUUACUUUUGCUUACUAUCACCUGUUCCCUCUUUUUCUCUCAUUUCUUCCCUCCCCCCACUACCCUGGAGUCGCUUAGUUCGCUCUCA